rnacentral:rRNA from 1 species
AUGAAGACCGCAGCUAAAUGCGCGUCAGAAUGUGAACUGCAGGACACAUGAACACCGACACGUUGAACGCAUAUUGCGCAUCGGACGUUUCAACCCGACCGAUGCACACAUUCUUGAGUGCCUACCAAGUUAUCUAUACACUCUUACCUAACUGACAACUAUCUGGGAGAUAAGCCAGUCGCAUAUUGGCGUGCUCGGACCCGCAUUGGACGGGGCCUUGGGCGCUGAAAGUGAGAGAGCUAAUAUAGAAGACAAUGUAUCGUGAGGUACAAGGUAGCAAGUGAGAGAUGAGAAGACACGCGACAAGUCGCAAUGGUUCGACCUCAAGUAUCAACUCGGGAUGAAACCCCCGCAGCCUAUCAUCAGGCGCUAGCAAAGGGGUCCUGGGUGGCUCGGGUCGUGUAACACUUGCGGCCCAACGGGUCUUUAUCGUCUCACUUAACAUAAACGGGAAUUAGCUUCUCUCAUGUAGGCCUCAAGUGAUGUGU